rnacentral:rRNA from 1 species
UACAGAGGCCACAAGCGUUAGGCGGAAUCACUGGGCGUAAAGGGUGCGUAGGCGGGUCUUUAAGUCAGGGGUGAAAUCCUGGAGCUCAACUCCAGAACUGCCUUUGAUACUGAGGAUCUUGAGUUCGGGAGAGGUGAGUGGAACUGCGAGUGUAGAGGUGAAAUUCGUAGAUAUUCGCAAGAACACCAGUGGCGAAGGCGGCUCACUGGCCCGAUACUGACGCUGAGGCACGAAAGCGUGGGGAGCAAACAGG